rnacentral:lncRNA from 1 species
CAGUAUAGGGCCAGCCCUCCAGCUGAGAGCAUGAGCAUCUAUAGAUCCCAGUCUGGCUCACCUGUACGCUAUCAGCAAGAAGCAAAUGUGAGUCAGCUUCCUGGCAGACCAAAAUCUCCUCUAUCCAAAAUGGCCCAGCGGCCCUACCAGAUGCCUCAGCUUCCAGUGGCAGUUCCCCAGCAAGGGCUCAGGUUACAGCCUGCCAAGGCCCAGAUCGUAAGAAGUAACCAGCCUAGCUCAGCAGUCCAUUCAAGCACUGUAAUCCCAACAGGAGCCUAUGGCCAAGUAGCCCAUCCAAUGGCCAGUAAAUACCAAUCUUCACAGGGGGACAUGGGAGUGAGUCAGAG